rnacentral:misc_RNA from 1 species
UUUUAUGCUAGAUAUGCCCUUUUUAUUAAGUCGAACAACAAACCAGUCUGAAACAAAAAGCAAAAGCAUGUUUCAAGCAGUAUGAUUUUUCAGUUCUUCAAUUUGACAUUCUCAAGAAAUAUUAUCCAGGAAGAACAUGAACAAAGAAAAUAGAAUAGCUUCACAAGGAUAGAUUGAAGGACAAAAUCCGCAGAGAGCAGAUCCAGAUACAUAAUCACCACCUACUAAACUUUAUAGAAAAUAACAAGAAUACUAAUCUCACAAAAGGCGAACAAAUUAGUUGGGCUUUAAUACACAACUCCCCUUCUCAAAUACAGGAAAAGGUAUGCUUUUAGUACUUUAAGAACUCACUUGUCACUUCCGAGCUCAGUGCGAAGAAGCUUGGCAGCAGCAACCAUGUUGCUCAAGGCAGGUUUCACUUCAGAGUACUUGCGGGUCUUGAGGCCACAAUCAGGGUUGACCCAGAGGAUGUGGCUUUCAAGCACAGCAAGCAUCUUCUUGAUGCGACCUGCAAUUUCUUCAGUAGAUGGGAUCCUAGGUGAGUGAAUGUCAUACACACCAGGGCCAAUGCCAGCCCCAUAUUUAACUCCUUCACGGAAAACUGAAAGAAGCUUCUCAUCUGAUCUUGAGUUCUCUAUGGUGAUGACAUCAGCAUCCAUGUUAAUGAUCGAGUGGAUGAUGUCAUUGAAGUUGGAGUAGCACAUGUGGGUGUGGAUCUGUCCACCACAUCAAACAGCUCCAUAUUAUAAGAUAGCGUAUAAAUUAUAUACCUUAAAAUUUUUAAGAAUUCUGUCCAGCAACAAAAUGCCACAAGAUUAAAAAGUUUCAAUAAUCCCAGACCAAAAUGAACGUGUGCACACACUCACACACUAUCCACAAGAAAAAUCUGCAUCCAAUUCUGAAAUUUUCCUUGUGAAUUUUCCAGACAAGUAUUUUCAAAAUCUUAAUUUUUUUUCCCACAUAAUUUUACGAUUUACAAACACUCAAGGACCAGCCAAACAAAUAUCUAAAACUAGUAAAAUUACAAAUGAGUCAGAAAAUGAAAAAUAGAUGAACCUGGGUUGUAUCUUGGACGCCACAAUUAGUAAUCCUGAAAGAGUGAACUGCCCAAUCCAAAUAGAAAGAAUGCUCAGACUUCCUUAGGGGUAAACCCUCUCUCAAUGCAGCCUCAUCAAUCUGAAUAACAGUGAUUCCAGCUUUCUCAAGGUCCUCAACCUCAUCCUUGAUGGCCAAAGCAAUUUGAUAGCAUGUCUCAUGUCUGGGCUGAUCAUUUCUGACAAAGGACCAGUUCAAAAUGGUAACAGGACCAGUAAGCAUUCCCUUCAUUGGUCUCUUGGUCAUGCUUUGAGCCAUUGAUAACCAGAAGACAGUCAUAGCCUUAGGGCGACUCACAUCACCAUAGAUGAUUGGAGGCUUGACACAACGAGAGCCAUAUGACUGAACCCACCCAUUUGCAGUGAAGGCAAAACCAGACAAUUGCUCACCAAAGUACUCAACCAUGUCAUUCCUUUCUGGUUCACCAUGCACCAAAACAUCAAUGUCAAGCUCUUCCUGUAUCUUGACCACUUUGUUAAUUUCCUCCUUGAUGGAAUUUACAUAAUCAUAUUCAGAGAUCUUUUUAGCCUUGUAUUCACGACGCACUCUCCUAAGAUCCUGAGUCUGAGGGAAGGAUCCAAUUGUGGUGGUAGGAAGAAUUGGAAGGUUCAACUUCUUCUGCUGAGCAUCCAACCUUGCACUCACAUUUGUGGCCCGGCGGUGGUCAGAUCCCUUCAAAGCAGCAGCAGCUUCCUGAACAGCCUCAUUUAUCACCCUUGGAGAAGAUUUUCUAGAAGCGUGAGCUAAUGCAUUUGAAGAGAAGAAUGCCUCAUCCCUGUGUCCAGCAAGUGCUUUGGCCAAGGCAUUUACUUCAAGUACUUUCUGUGCAGCAAAUGCAAGCCAUGACUUGAUCUCUUUAUCCAAUUUAGGCUCAUUUACUAGGUCAACUGCAGUGUGUAGAAGAGAGCAGGAAGUAGACACCACAACCUUGUCUUUGCCCACAAUGGCCUCAAGAGCAUGCAGUGUAUCAAGAGAAGCAGCAAGAUCGUUAGCCCAGAUGUUCCUUCCAUCAACUACUCCAGCAAAGAGGAAUUUGCCCAAAGGGAAUCCAACCUUAAUCAAAUCAAGGGUCUUAGUCCCACGAACUAGGUCAAAUCCAAAUCCACUAACACCCUUCAAAGACGUGAGGGUUUUGAAUGCCUCAGCUGGAACAUCGGCAAAGUAGGUCUCAAUCAAAACAUGUACACCAGAUAAAGUUGCCUCCAGCUCUAAGUAUGCAUGAGUAAAUGCUUGUAAUUCAUGAGCAUCAAGAUCCAUCACAAGCUUGGGCUCAUCAAACUGAAUCCAGCGUGCACCAGCUGCCUUUAGUUCAGCCACAACUUCCUUGUAGACAGGAAGAAUUUUGUCAAUCAGGGAAAGAAGAGAAAAGGAUUUCUCCACACCCUUCGCUGGUUUGGAUAGAAGCAAAUAGGAAACAGGACCCACAAUGACGGGCACAGUCUCAAUUCCAAGAGCUUUGGCCUCCUUGUACUCAUCAACAGCCUUGUGAGAUGCAUAAGAGAACUUAACAUCUGGUCCCAGUUCAGGAACAAUGUAAUGGUAGUUGGUGUCAAACCACUUGGUCAUUUCCAUAGCAGGGACAGAGGCAUUUCCUCUAGCCAUGGAAAAGUAGAUGUCAAACCCAAUCUCACCACCAUUCCAACCAUAUCUGGGAGGAACAGCACCUAGCAUUGCUGUAGCGUCCAACACCUGAUCAUAGUAUGAAAAAGUGUUGCUUGGAAUAAACUUGAUUCCAGCAUCAGCCAUCUGUUUCCAGAUAGAUGACCUGAGAUCUGUUGCGACCUUCUGCAAUUCCUCAGCGCUGCUCUUGCCAUCCCAGAAAGAUUCCAAAGCAAAUUUGAGCUCUCUUUUGGGCCCCAUGCGAGGAUAACCAACAAUGUGGGAAGCCAUUGCCCUAAGAGAAGAAGAGAAGGAAGAAACAAGUACAGGGAAGAAGUGAAGAAAUAAAGGAGGGUUAGUCGAGAAAGAGAGAGGUAACAGAUAUCACUCCUAGAGAAGUGAACGGCGCGAGUAAGUGAUGAGAGACUUGGCUCAUUUAUGCUACUCUUUCUCUGUCCACACUCCUAUUCAUCUCUCUCUAAAUCAUUUUCUUGGUUUUAAAUUUUCUUUUUUUUUCUCCCCAAAAAAGCACUAAUUCCCGCCUCCCUUUUUU